AUUGAACGCUGGCGGCAGGCCUAACGCAUGCAAGUCGAGCGGAUGAAGGGAGCUUGCUCCUGGAUUCAGCGGCGGACGGGUGAGUAAUGCCUAGGAAUCUGCCUGGUAUUGGGGGAUAACGUCCGUAAACGGGCGCUAAUACCGCAUACGUCCUGAGGUAGAAAGUGAGGGAUCUUCGGACCUCACGCUAUCAGAUGAGCCUAGGUCGGAUUAGCUAGUUGGUGGGGUAAAGGCCUACCAAGGCGACGAUCCGUAACUGGUCUGAGAGGAUGAUCAGUCACACUGGAACUGAGACACGGUCCAGACUCCUACGGGAGGCAGCAGUGGGGAAUAUUGGACAAUGGGCGAAAGCCUGAUCCAGCCAUGCCGCGUGUGUGAAGAAGGUCUUCGGAUUGUAAAGCACUUUAAGUUGGGAGGAAGGGCAGUAAGUUAAUACCUUGCUGUUUUGACGUUACCAACAGAAUAAGCACCGGCUAACUUCGUG
rnacentral:rRNA from 1 species